GAUGAACGCUGGCGGCGUGCCUAAUACAUGCAAGUCGAGCGAACAGACGAGGAGCUUGCUCCUUCGACGUUAGCGGCGGACGGGUGAGUAACACGUAGGUAACCUACCUAUAAGACUGGGAUAACUUCGGGAAACCGGAGCUAAUACCGGAUAAUAUUUCGAACCGCAUGGUUCGAUAGUGAAAGAUGGCUUUGCUAUCACUUAUAGAUGGACCUGCGCCGUAUUAGCUAGUUGGUAAGGUAACGGCUUACCAAGGCAACGAUGCGUAGCCGACCUGAGAGGGUGAUCGGCCACACUGGAACUGAGACACGGUCCAGACUCCUACGGGAGGCAGCAGUAGGGAAUCUUCCGCAAUGGGCGAAAGCCUGACGGAGCAACGCCGCGUGAGUGAUGAAGGUCUUCGGAUCGUAAAACUCUGUUAUUAGGGAAGAACAAACGUGUAAGUAACUGUGCACGUCUUGACGGUACCUAAUCAGAAAGCCACGGCUAACUACGUG
rnacentral:rRNA from 1 species